rnacentral:rRNA from 1 species
GAUGAACGCUGGCGGCGUGCCUAACACAUGCAAGUCGAGCGGCAGCGCUAGUAGUUUACUACUUGGCGGCGAGCGGCGGACGGCUGAGUAACGCGUAGGAAUGUACCCCAAAGUGAGGGAUAAGCACCGGAAACGGUGUCUAAUACCGCAUAUGGUCUUCGGAUUAAAGCUUCGGCGCUUUGGGAACAGCCUGCGUCCGAUUAGGUUGUUGGUGAGGUAAUGGCUCACCAAGCCGACGAUCGGUAGCUGGUCUGAGAGGAUGAUCAGCCAGACUGGAACUGAGACACGGUCCAGACUCCUACGGGAGGCAGCAGUGAGGAAUCUUCCACAAUGGGGGCAACCCUGAUGGAGCAACGCCGCGUGCAGGAUGAAGGCCUUCGGGUCGUAAACUGCUUUUAUUAGUGAAGAAUAUGACGGUAACUAAUGAAUAAGGAUCGGCUAACUACGUG